CUAUUCUGUGUUAUUUAAAUACAGUUCUAUACUGUAGCUCUGAUUUCUCUCUCCCGCAGAAGGUUGGAUAAAGUGUUGUGACUGGUCACAGCAGUCCGGCCCCUAAAAAACAAUUAUCCUUGACAAAACCGGUUCAGUCCGGUUUAACGCGAAAGUGAAAUUUUUGUGCUCCAUUUUAAGAAGCGCAAUGCAAAUAUCUUUAGAAAAGAAAGCCGAAACAAACUGCGCAAAUAGAACAGGCGUCGUACUGCAGGAAGUGUCACAAAUGUCUCGGACUGUGAGCCAGUAGAUCUAACA